GCUCAGUUGGUAGAGCAUGGUGUUUGCAACGCCAGGGUUGUGGGUUCGUUUCCCAC
rfam:Salmo salar isolate Sally breed double haploid chromosome ssa13, whole genome shotgun sequence.